UCUUCGCUCCAUCCUCCAAAUGUAGAGGACGAAGCCACGACCAUUGAAGCGAAAUUGCUGCCCCGCCCUCUCCUUCCCGCGCGCAUCUGGAGACCAGAAAAGGAGGUGGGAGCGUCUCCCGCGAGGUCGCCGUCGCCGUCGCUCCACUCGCCGGCCAGAUAAAUGGACAACUCACAGAUGGAUGACAUUGGGUUUUUAGACAUGUUGAAUGGGGGAUCAGGUGAAGUGAAUUGGAGUGCCACAGAAUAUUCUAGCCCAAUCAGUGAACGAGAGAAGAUGUCAACUCCGGAUGCAUCUGAACUAUAUCAUCUUGAAGCUGAAAAUGAUCAUGUUGGUUUCUAAUCUGUUGAUGCAUCUGAAUGAAAGCACUCAGCUCUUCUGCAUGAGUCCUCGAACAAUGGCAAAACAGGCUUGGAGAACUCCAAAGGCUCGUUCCACAUCCUUUCUAGCCGCCUCUUGCCUUUGAGCAAACAAUUUCUUCUUUCUGGUUGAUGGAGCUGGUAUGGUCUUCACAAGUGUUGCCCACUUUGGAUAUAUACCAUCUGCAAGGUAAUACCCCAUUGUGUAUUGAUGACCAUUGAUGGUAUAAUUCACUUCUGGAGCUUUACCCUCUGCUAGCUUUGCAAACAGAUGAGAACGGUCAAGAACAUUUAUAUCAUUGUUUGACCCUGGUAAACCGAAGAAUGCAUGCCAAAUCCAAAGAUCCUUUGAAGCAA